rnacentral:lncRNA from 10 species
CAGGCACACAACCGUGCCUGGCUAUUUUUGUAUUUUUAGUAGAGACAGGGUUUCGCCAUGUUGGCCAGGCUGAUCUUGAACUCCUGACCUCAAGUGAUCUGCUGGGUUCAGCUUCCCAAAGUUCUGGGAUUACAGAUAUGAGCCACUGCUCCCGGCUCACAAAUGAUAUUUUAAUUCAUACACCAAAGGGAAGGGGAAUAUACAGAAUAUGCACACCUGGGUUGGAAAUUUAGGGCCCAUCUUAGAAUUCUGACUACUACUUUUUUUUUCUUUUUUUUUGAGAUGGAGUCUCACUCUGUCACCGAGGCUGGAGUGCAGUGGUGCCAUCUCAGCUCACUGCAAUCUCUGCCAUCCAGGUUCAAGCAAUUCUCCUGCCUCAGCCUCCCGAGCAGCUGAGAUUACAGGUGCCUGCCACUGUGCCCGGCUAAUUUUUAUAGUUUUAGUAGAGACGGGGUUUCACCUUGUUGGCCAUGCUGGUCGCGAACUCCUGACCUCGUGAUCCACCCACCUAGGCCUCCCAAAGUGCUGGGAUUACAGGCGUGAGCCAUCGCGCCCAGCCUGCCUACCACUUCUAUAAGCCAUUAGGCUGCUGUCAUUUCAGGACUUUAAGAAACAACACAAAUAGCAUGCUAUGCUAUACCUGUUGUCUACAUAGAGGACUAAGUGGUGUGCUAUAUAAGGUGUUGGAGGUUUUGGAAAACAGUCGUCAGCACUUUUCCUACCUGUGUACUCCUAACCAAAGUGAGAAGUAAUGAACAAGAACCAAGGGGGAUGAAAAUGUAGUAAAUGUGUUCACGGUAAAGCUAAUUAAAGAACAUAGCAGGUUUGCCUAUUUCCCUUCUUGAUUUAGAUUUUGGUCUCUCUAGCUUGUCACAGAGAGAAAAGCUGGAAGAUGGUGGACCUGCUAAAGCCAACUUUGUUUGUCUCUUUUCCACAUGGAAGAAACUCACCUAUGUUAUUGAUACCUAAAAAGGAAGAGUGAAACAAGAAGGAGAUGGGCCUGUCUCUGUACUGUUUGAGCUUCAGGGCAGUGGCUUUACUUAUGAUGCAGUAGCAAACAAUCCCCAAGUCGCAGUGGUUAACAAAAACACAUAUAUUUUUUCCUCAUGGCAUCUGUCUGACACUGGUGGGCAAGGAUGCUCUGUUCUUCAGACUCUCACAGGGACCCAGGCUGACAGACGCCUCAUCUCAACCUGGGACUUCUUCAGUCACGGCAGCAGCAAGAAGGGAGAGUGGAAACUUAUUCACCAGCUCUUAAUGUUUACAGUCCUAAGUAACACAUGCCACUUUUGAUCCAUAUUUAUUGAACAAAGCAAGUUGUGUGGCUACACACGAAAGAGGAAGUACCAUCGUAACAGAAGCCAUAAAGUGAAGGAGAAUCAAAAAUCUUUGGUAGACAGCAUUCACAGCUACCACACGUGGGCUUAGUGAAUGUCAUUCGUCUCCCACAGGAGAUGCAGGAAUUAAAGAAGGCCCCAAAGGUCUUCACUCCAAUACUGUCCCCUCCAAGACAGCGGAACAUGCGAUUUCCACAUAUGAAAAGAGAAAAGUAACAGUUCCCUUUUACCAGUAAAGGUAGGAAACAGAAAACAAUCGUGAAGCUGCCCUGGAGGGCCACGCCCCACCUUCCCGGAGACUGUCGCAGUAAGUAGCUAGCAAAAACAGCUCUCCAAGGCCGCUUUACAGGCAGCUGAGAGAGGUCCUAGCCCCACAGACAGGCUCCAAAUAGGAAGAGGGAGACUGUGCCUGCCACAUUUGAGGAGGCCGCCUUCAAAUUCAUGCUGUAUGUCUGGAGUCGCUGUGCCGAACAGGAUCUGUGAGCUGGCUCUGUGCUGGGUGAGAAGUGUGCAGCCUGGUGCCAGAACGCGAGUGCACAUCAAAAUCCUGGCACAGGCUCUCCUCAGAAACGGACAGAAGACCAACUGUAACAUACGGCUCAUUCUUCUCACGUCAUAAACGUAAAGGCAUUAAUCACUGGGAGGCCUCCCAGAAAUUAAAGUUCAUCUUUUGGUUAUGGGGUGUCAAAAGGCAAAUGCGGAAUGUUUUAAAUUUGCUUCGUUUUCCUGCGAGAUAAAAUACAGGUUUCCAAUGCUGGCUCUAUCAUCAAAACAGUCUCCUGGCCCUGCCAAAGCUAACAUAAAGAACCCAGAACUCCACACAGGUUUCUCAUUUAUAGCAUAAUUUCCUUCAAAGACGACUACUUUAAAAUGUAGAUUAACCCUUAAUGUCUGAAUUUUCCAAAGCGAAACUUUGAAACAAUGAGGUCCCAUCUGCCAGUGCUAAAAAACCAAGCAGCAAGGGAGUCACCCAUGGCAUUCUGCAGUGCGGGUGGGCGGGCUCUGCCUGGCCUGCUGACUGUCCAUGCCGCAGUGAGCACCAGGCUGCACUCUCAAAGUGGAGCCUCGGGUCAGUCCUCAGGUGGAGAGAUAACUGCUGUGCUCUCAAGCUAUGUAUUAUGAUCACCACACAGCAGCAUGUAUCCCUGAUUAAUGGUCUUCAGGAAUAUUUCUCAUCAACUCAUUCUCCCACACACUUCCUCCUGCCGCCUUGUGAGGAAGGUGCCUGCUUCCCCUUCACCUUCUGCCUUGAUUGUAAGUUUCCUGAGGCCUCCUAGCCAUUCUUCGUGUUAAGCCUGCAGGACUGUGAGUCAAUUAAACCUCUUUCUGUUAAGCCUGCAGGACUGUGAGUCAAUUAAACCUCUUUCG